UACGAAGGGGGCUAGCGUUGUUCGGAUUUACUGGGCGUAAAGCGUGUGUAGGCGGCUUCGCAAGUUGGAUGUGAAAUCCCACGGCUCAACCGUGGACGUGCAUCCAAAACUGCGUCGCUAGAGUCUCGGAGAGGAAGGUGGAAUGCUUGGUGUAGAGGUGAAAUUCGUAGAUAUCAAGCAGAACACCUGCGGCGAAGGCGGCCUUCUGGACGAUGACUGACGCUGAGACACGAAAGCGUGGGGAGCAAACAGG
rnacentral:rRNA from 1 species